rnacentral:lncRNA from 1 species
GUUUGGUGACGAUGGGGCAUUACGCGUGACAGCUGAGUCAGGAGCACCGUCCUCCUACCCGAGUCAGCCAAAGGAGGGUUCGGCCCGCUGUUCUUUCCACAGACAGAUGUUUACCCACAAAAUCUCAAGAGAGCCACGGGGGCAGAAGUUUCAAGGAACAUCGUCUCUUCCCAAACCGCAUGAAAUUGCAUUCCAGUGAGAAGCCCGGCCAAACCAAGCAGAAUUCAGAAUGCGGGAUGGAAGGAGUCUGGGGUCCAUGACCUUGUGAAAUGGGAGAGCAUUGUCUGGGAAGCGGG